rnacentral:rRNA from 1 species
UACGUAGGGUGCGAGCGUUUAAUCGGAAUUACUGGGCGUAAAGCGUGCGCAGGCGGUUUGGUAAGACAGAUGUGAAAUCCCCGGGCUUAACCUGGGAAUGGCAUUUGUGACUGCCCGGCUAGAGUGUGUCAGAGGGGGGUAGAAUUCCGACGUGUAGCAGUGAAAUGCGUAGAGAUGUGGAGGAAUACCGAUGGCGAAGGCAGCCCCUGGAUAACACUGACGCUCAUGCACGAAAGCGUGGGAGCAAACAGG